UACACACGUGCUACAAUGGCAUAUACAAAGAGAAGCGACCUCGCGAGAGCAAGCGGACCUCAUAAAGUAUGUCGUAGUCCGGAUUGGAGUCUGCAACUCGACUCCAUGAAGUCGGAAUCGCUAGUAAUCGUAGAUCAGAAUGCUACGGUGAAUACGUUCCCGGGCCUUGUACACACCGCCCGUCACACCAUGGGAGUGGGUUGCAAAAGAAGUAGGUAGCUUAACCUUCGGGAGGGCGCUUACCACUUUGUGAUUCAUGACUGGGGUGAAGUCGUAACAAGGUAACCGUAGGGGAACCUGCGGUUGGAUCACCUCCUUACCUUAAAGAA
rnacentral:rRNA from 1 species